AUUGAACGCUGGCGGCAGGCCUAACACAUGCAAGUCGAACGAGUGGCGGACGGGUGAGUAAUGUCUGGGAAACUGCCUGAUGGAGGGGGAUAAAUACUGGAAACGGUAGCUAAUACCGCAUACCAUCGGAUGUGCCCAGAUGGGAUUAGCUAGUAGGUGGGGUAAUGGCUCACCUAGGCGACGAUCCCUAGCUGGUCUGAGAGGAUGCCCAGCCACACUGGAACGGAGAAACGGUCCAGACUCCUACGGGAGGCAGCUGUGGGGAAUAUUAGACAAUGGGCGCAAGCCUGAUGCAGCCAUGCCGCGGGUAUGAAGAAGGCCUUCGGGUUUUAAAGUACUUUCAGCGGGGAGGCGUUACCCGCAGAAGAAGCACCGGCUAACUCCGUGCCAGCAGCCGCGGUAAUUC
rnacentral:rRNA from 1 species